GGCUGCACACGGGGUGAAAACCGAGGCUCUCACAAGUUGGCCCCAGGGCCGCUGCUGCUCUCUCCCGGUGGGCGAUCGGUCGAUGCACUUGGCGUAUGGUAUGCUACUAGUCGAGGCUCUGCUCAGUCCGGCCUGGCAUGGCCGCGGAUCCCCUGCGCCUGGUCCAUCCAAGCCGUGGCUACGCCUCCCUCUUCUCUCUUCAUCCCUCAUCUACGAGAGGAGAGGAGACAGGAGAGACUGCAGCGGUGCUGUUCCGCGUCGCUGGCCGGUCCCGUCACCUUUAAAGCUGUCGUCUCGUUAUCAAGUUGGGCUAAGAUGCCGACUCAUCUUGUAUACUACAGUGUUAUUCAAUUAUUGUCCUCCAAAUAGCCUAUUAAAUUGGCCGAAGAUGCAUUCCAAGAGGCCACCUUCUCUCUCAGAAGAAGAAAAAAUCUUACUACAAGAAAGAGGAGACCAGAGUCAAGCCCCUCUCUCUCUCUCAAAGGAACAACCAACCAGCUGCUGAAAGCUGGAUCGGAUCUUCGGAAUCCUUCCUGUGAGCAGAUAUAAGAGAGCAAGCUGGUCAUCCAGCUUCACAAGGGAGGGCAUCUCCAGGUAGCACCACUGGCAACCAUGGAGGCGGCUCUGGUGAGUGCAGCGACGGGAGCCUUGAAACCCGUUCUGGCAAAGCUGGGCGCUCUCGCAGGCGAUGAGUACAAGCGGUUUAAGGGUGUGCGUGAUGAUAUCAAGUCGCUCACUCGUGAACUCACUGCCAUGGAUGCAUUUCUUCUCAAGAUGUCAGAGGAGGAGGAUCCUGAUGUGCAAGACAAGGUGUGGAUGAAUGAGGUGCGUGAGCUCUGUUGGCCCAGUCCCGACGCCGAGUACUUCCAGCGACAGGCAACGACGACGACAGACAAAGCUCACUGACGAGCUCGACGAGUUGCUUUUACGCUGAGGCGCACCGUAGCAAAGCUAGCCUUCAGCUAGUAAUCAAUCCUUUGUCUGAUCUACUAGUACUAGUACGUAUGAGCACUUCUAGCCGGAAGCGUUCCAAUCGAUCUAGCUAUCUCACGUAACCAGCACAAUACAAAGAAUCGAUCUGAUGGCCAGACGCACGUAUCGUGCGUUUCUUUAUUGCUUCAA